GACGAACGCUGGCGGCGUGCUUAACACAUGCAAGUCGAACGGAAAGGCCCUGCUUUUGUGGGGUGCUCGAGUGGCGAACGGGUGAGUUACACGUGAGUAACCUGCCCUUGACUUUGGGAUAACUUCAGGAAACUGGGGCUAAUACCGGAUAGGAGCUCCUGCUGCAUGGUGGGGGUUGGAAAGUUUCGGCGGUUGGGGAUGGACUCGCGGCUUAUCAGCUUGUUGGUGGGGUAGUGGCUUACCAAGGCUUUGACGGGUAGCCGGCCUGAGAGGGUGACCGGCCACAUUGGGACUGAGAUACGGCCCAGACUCCUACGGGAGGCAGCAGUGGGGAAUAUUGCACAAUGGGCGGAAGCCUGAUGCAGCAACGCCGCGUGCGGGAUGACGGCCUUCGGGUUGUAAACCGCUUUCGCCUGUGACGAAGCGUGAGUGACGGUAAUGGGUAAAGAAGCACCGGCUAACUACGUGCCAGCAGCCGCGGUGAUACGUAGGGUGCGAGCGUUGUCCGGAUUUAUUGGGCGUAAAGGGCUCGUAGGUGGUUGAUCGCGUCGGAAGUGUAAUCUUGGGGCUUAACCCUGAGCGUGCUUUCGAUACGGGUUGACUUGAGGAAGGUAGGGGAGAAUGGAAUUCCUGGUGGAGCGGUGGAAUGCGCAGAUAUCAGGAGGAACACCAGUGGCGAAGGCGGUUCUCUGGGCCUUUCCUGACGCUGAGGAGCGAAAGCGUGGGGAGCGAACAGGCUUAGAUACCCUGGUAGUCCACGCUGUAAACGGUGGGUACUAGGUGUGGGGUCCAUUCCACGGGUUCCGUGCCGUAGCUAACGCUUUAAGUACCCCGCCUGGGGAGUACGGCCGCAAGGCUAAAACUCAAAGGAAUUGACGGGGCCCCGCACAAGCGGCGGAGCAUGCGGAUUAAUUCGAUGCAACGCGUAGAACCUUACCUGGGUUUGACAUGGAUCGGGAGUGCUCAGAGAUGGGUGUGCCUCUUUUGGGGUCGGUUCACAGGUGGUGCAUGGCUGUCGUCAGCUCGUGUCGUGAGAUGUUGGGUUAAGUCCCGCAACGAGCGCAACCCUUGUUCACUGUUGCCAGCACGUUAUGGUGGGGACUCAGUGGAGACCGCCGGGGUCAACUCGGAGGAAGGUGGGGAUGACGUCAAGUCAUCAUGCCCCUUAUGUCCAGGGCUUCACGCACGCUACAAUGGCUGGUACAGAGAGUGGCGAGCCUGUGAGGGUGAGCGAAUCUCGGAAAGCCGGUCUCAGUUCGGAUUGGGGUCUGCAACUCGACCUCAUGAAGUCGGAGUCGCUAGUAAUCGCAGAUCAGCAACGCUGCGGUGAAUACGUUCCCGGG
rnacentral:rRNA from 1 species